rnacentral:rRNA from 1 species
AUUGAACGCUGGCGGCAUGCCUUACACAUGCAAGUCGAACGGCAGCACGGGAGCAAUCCUGGUGGCGAGUGGCGAACGGGUGAGUAAUAUAUCGGAACGUGCCCAGUCGUGGGGAUAACGUAGCGAAAGCUACGCUAAUACCGCAUACGAUCUACGGAUGAAAGCGGGGGAUCGCAAGACCUCGCGCGAUUGGAGCGGCCGAUAUCAGAUUAGGUUGUUGGUGAGGUAAAAGCUCACCAAGCCGACGAUCUGUAGCUGGUUUGAGAGAACGACCAGCCACACUGGGACUGAGACACGGCCCAGACUCCUACGGGAGGCAGCAGUGGGGAAUUUUGGACAAUGGGCGAAAGCCUGAUCCAGCAAUGCCGCGUGCAGGAAGAAGGCCUCGGUUGGUAACGUAGUAC